rnacentral:SRP_RNA from 1 species
GCCGGGUGUGGUGGCUCGUGCCUGUAGUCCCAGCUACUUGGGAGGCUGAGGUGGGAGGAUCGCUUGAGCCCAGGAGUUCUGGGCUGUAGUGCACUAUGCUGAUCGGGUGUCCACACUGUUAGGCAUCAAUAUGGUGACCUCCUGGGAGCGGGGGGACCACCAGGUUGACUAAGGAGGGGUGAACCGGCCCAGGUCAGAAACGGAGCAGGUCAAAACUCCCGUGCUGAUCAGUAGUGGGAUCAUGCCUGUGAAUAGCCACUGCACUCCAGCCUGGGCAACAUAGCGAGACCCUGUCUCUA